rnacentral:misc_RNA from 1 species
GAUGAGAACGCAGCGAAAUGCGAUACGUAAUGUGAAUUGCAGAAUUCAGUGAAUCAUCGAAUCUUUGAACGCAUAUUGCGCUCUUUGGUAUUCCGAAGAGCAUGCUUGUUUGAGUAUCAGUAAACACCUCAAAGCUUUUGGAUUUUUUAAUCGAAAAGCUUUGGACUUGAGCAAUCCCAACACCAAUCUUUUUGAGAUCGGUGGCGGGUUGCUUGAAAUGCAGGUGCAGCUGGACAUUCUCCUGAGCUAAAAGCAUAUUCAUUUAGUCCCGUCAAACGGAUUAUUACUUUUGCUGCAGCUAACAUAAAGGGAGUUUGACCGUAUUGGCUGACUGAUGCAGGAUUUCACAAGGGUCGGCAACGAUUCUUGUUAAACUCGAUCUCAAAUCAAGUAAGACUACCCGCUGAACUUAAGCAUAUCAAUAAGCGGAGGA